rnacentral:rRNA from 1 species
UGAGGAAUAUUGGUCAAUGGACGCAAGUCUGAACCAGCCAAGUAGCGUGCAGGAUGACGGCCCUAUGGGUUGUAAACUGCUUUUAUUUGGGGAUAAAGUGGGGAACGUGUUCCCUUUUGCAGGUACCAUAUGAAUAAGGACCGGCUACUUCCGUGCCAGCAGCCGCGGUAAUACGGAAGGUUCGGGCGUUAUCCGGAUUUAUUGGGUUUAAAGGGAGCGUAGGCCGUUUGGUAAGCGUGUUGUGAAAUGUAGGAGCUCAACUUCUAGAUUGCAGCGCGAACUGUCAGACUUGAGUGCGCACAACGUAGGCGGAAUUCAUGGUGUAGCGGUGAAAUGCUUAGAUAUCAUGAAGAACUCCGAUUGCGAAGGCAGCUUACGGGAGCGCAACUGACGCUGAAGCUCGAAGGUGCGGGUAUCGAACAGG